rnacentral:lncRNA from 1 species
AAACAGUUUAGCUUCAAAAAUGGAUUCUGGAAAAGACUUAGAAUCAAAUCUUAGUGACUUUAGCAUUUUGUCAAGAGUCUUUCCCAUAACGAUAAGAAAUUCGAGGAUGAAGAUCUGGCUAUGAUUCUUCUAAAUUCACUACUUGAAUCUUAUAAAAAUAUCUGAAAUGCUAUAAAAUAUUCAAGAGAUGUUUUAACAUAAAUGAUUGUAACAAAUGCCCUAAGAUCUAGGGAGUUGGAGGUUAAGAAGGAAUCAAGAACUAAUUCCAAGGAGAAGAACCUGUUUGUGAGAGGGAGAACUGAAAAAAGAGAAAAUCAUUCAUUGAAUAGGUGGUUCAAAUCAAAAUCCAAAGCUAGGUCCAACUCAAAAGAUAAAAGCAACAAAAAAUGCUAUCACUAUGGAAAACUUGGACACUUCAAAAGGGAUUGCUUUGAAUUAAAGAAGAAGCUAAAAGAACCUAAUUACAGUUAAUGUUGUUGUAAGUCUAGAACUAGACUGCCUUCUUGUUAUGACCGUGUCUAACGAUGAAACAGACACUGACUGGAUACUUGACUGUGGAUGUACCUUUCAUAUGUAUCCAAAUAAAACUUGGUUUCAUAACUACAAGGAGAUAGAACCUAGGAAAGUAUAUAUGGGUGAUAAUAAUUCACAAAAUGUUCUUGGAAUUGGUGACAUUACAAUCAAAAUGUACGAUGGUAUUGUUAGACAGAUUAAAAAUGUAAGACAUGUCCCAAAUCUAAAAGGAAAUCUCAUUUCACUAGGAAUUCUCAAAGAUGAGGGACAUACUUUUCAAUCUGAAAAUAAUACUUUGAAGAUUCUCAAAGGAUCUCUUGUAGUUAUGAAGGGACCAAAAAAAAAUUGUUUGUAUUACUUGAUGGGAGAGACUAUCAAUUCCCAGGAUUCGAAAUCCUUAACCAUAACUGAAAAUAAAUCUGAAUUGUGGCAUUGUAGGAUGGGACAUAUUAGUAAUAAGGGCUUAAAAUAUCUAAAUGAUCAAAAAUUCCUUAGAAAAGAUAAAAUAGAGCCCCUUAACUUUUGUGAGACGUGUGUACUUGGAAAGUCUCAUAGAGUCAGCUUUGAGACGGGGUCACACACUACAAAUAGACCAUUCGACUAUGUCCACUCAGAUUUGUGGGGUCCAGAAAGCCAC